CGCCGGAAGACCAAGGGUUCCUGUCCAACGUUAAUCGGGGCAGGGUGAGUCGACCCCUAAGGCGAGGCCGAAAGGCGUAGUCGAUGGGAAACAGGUUAAUAUUCCUGUACUUGGUGUUACUGCGAAGGGGGGACGGAGAAGGCUAUGUUGGCCGGGCGACGGUUGUCCCGGUUUAAGCGUGUAGGCUGGUUUUCCAGGCAAAUCCGGAAAAUCAAGGCUGAGGCGUGAUGACGAGGCACUACGGUGCUGAAGCAACAAAUGCCCUGCUUCCAGGAAAAGCCUCUAAGCAUCAGGUAACAUCAAAUCGUACCCCAAACCGACACAGGUGGUCAGGUAGAGAAUACCAAGGCGCUUGAGAGAACUCGGGUGAAGGAACUAGGCAAAAUGGUGCCGUAACUUCGGGAGAA
rnacentral:rRNA from 1 species